rnacentral:rRNA from 1 species
UACGAAGGGGGCUAGCGCUGCUCGGAAUCACUGGGCGUAAAGCGCACGUAGGCGGAUUGCUAAGUCAGGGGUGAAAUCCUGGAGCUCAACUCCAGAACUGCCUUUGAUACUGGAGAGCUUGAGUCCGGAAGAGGUGAGUGGAACUCCGAGUGUAGAGGUGAAAUUCGUAGAUAUUCGGAAGAACACCAGUGGCGAAGGCGGCUCACUGGUCCGGUACUGACGCUGAGGUGCGAAAGCGUGGGGAGCAAACAGG